AACGAACGCUGGCGGCAGGCUUAACACAUGCAAGUCGGACGCCCACUUUCGGGUGGGAGUGGCAGACGGGUGAGUAACGCGUGGGAACAUACCCUUCGGUUCGGAACAACGUUUGGAAACGGACGCUAAUACCGGAUACGUGCGCGAGCAGAAAGAUUGAUCGCCGAAGGAUUGGCCCGCGUCCGAUUAGCUUGUUGGUGGGGUAACGGCCCACCAAGGCAUCGAUCGGUAGCUGGUCUGAGAGGAUGGCCAGCCACAUUGGGACUGAGACACGGCCCAAACUCCUACGGGAGGCAGCAGUGGGGAAUAUUGGACAAUGGGCGCAAGCCUGAUCCAGCCAUGCCGCGUGAGUGAUGACGGCCUUAGGGUUGUAAAGCUCUUUCGCGCACGACGAUAAUGACGGUAGUGCGAGAAGAAGCCCCGGCUAACUUCGUGCCAGCCGCCGCAGUAACAC
rnacentral:rRNA from 1 species